rnacentral:rRNA from 1 species
AACGAACGCUGGCGGCAGGCUUAACACAUGCAAGUCGAGCGCCCCGCAAGGGGAGCGGCAGACGGGUGAGUAACGCGUGGGAAUCUACCCAUCUCUACGGAAUAACGCAUGGAAACGUGUGCUAAUACCGUUUACGUCCUUCGGGAGAAAGAUUUAUCGGAGAUGGAUGAGCCCGCGUUGGAUUAGCUAGUUGGUGGGGUAAAGGCCUACCAAGGCGACGAUCCAUAGCUGGUCUGAGAGGAUGAUCAGCCACACUGGGACUGAGACACGGCCCAGACUCCUACGGGAAGCAGCAGUGGGGAAUAUUGGACAAUGGGCGCAAGCCUGAUCCAGCCAUGCCGCGUGAGUGAUGAAGGCCCUAGGGUUGUAAAGCUCUUUCACCGGUGAAGAUAAUGACGGUAACUGGAGAAGAAGCCCCGGCUAACUUCGUGCCAGCCGCCGCCGUAAAAC